CUCAUAAGUUGUAUUAGGAGUGUUGAGGAUUAAUAUGUCUAAGUUAGAUAUUGACAAAGACAAAUUAAGUUGAAGAGUUAAAUAAUUAAUCACCUUUGAUAGGUGAAGAGCAAAACAGGUUGUUUCUUACAGUACGAUAAUGUAUGUAAGACUGAGGAUAGGUUCAGCUGGGUCGCCUCAAGACCUAAUGGGGAUCACCGGCGUUUUGAGCUCCUACCAAUAGUCAGAGAUAGCCACUCUGACUGGAGGAAAUCAUAUAACCCGACGUGGUGAAACCUGACUGUGCAGGACUAUCUAUAAUAAGGUGUAGCGCUCGGGCCAGAAUGGUUGAGACANNNNNNNNNNNNNUGUUGAUUUGCAAACGACCAUGUUAUGGCAGUUGAAACGACCUUACGCUCAUAAUAGAGGUCUCCAUGGAGUAGGUUGAAUAAAGAUAAUACUAACCAAGUUAGAAGACUAACUUUGAGUGAAGAAUUAUGAUUGGAUUUUAUAUGCAUUUUAAAUGAUUAAAUUUCGAUGUUUGAUAUAUUUGAUGAUUGAUAUAUUGGAUAUAUUGGAUAUAUUUGAUUAUCUUUGUUUUUGAGUAAUUGUUGAAUUGUGAUAUUGAUAUAAUGUUUUGUGCAAUUCAUAUUUUUGUGACUAUAUUUGACUAUACGUGACUAUUUGACUACUUGAUUCUAUUUGAUGUAAAUACAUGAUUAGAUACUCAGGUAUGUAUAUAUACUAGUUAAAUAAAUGUAUAUACUUGUAUAAUAUUAUUUGUAGCCUUAUGACAUCAUCACGAUGGAAACUUGUGUACGAGUGAUUCACCCCUUACAACAGUUAGUGCAGGAUACUAAGACCUCAAGUUGAAGUUCAUUGAGAAAAGGAAAAUGGCAUUGUGAAAGACAUUAAAAUAAAGAACGUUAGUGCUGAUUGGUGGUCUAGUUUUAUUUUUGGAUUCCGAAGAGAAAGAUCUCUUUGAUAUGUAUUGAUGACGUUAUUGGAGUACUCUCUAGGUGACAUGUAUCUUAGUGNNNNNNNNNNNNNNNNNNNNUAUUUGAAAAUCCUUUGAGCAAAAUUACUAGAUGAUUGUUUGAUAUAAGUGAUGCAUAUUAUUUAUGGACUUACUUUAAAUUUAUAUAAAGAGAAUUUUGAAAACUUUCUUAAAUAAAAAUAAUAGUACUUGUAUUCGAGAACAUUUCUCACUUAUACUUUUCCUUUACCAAAAAUAAACCAGCAUAAUUUUAUUUGCUUGUAUUUA
rnacentral:lncRNA from 1 species